rnacentral:rRNA from 1 species
AGUGAACGCUGGCGGUAGGCCUAACACAUGCAAGUCGAACGGCAGCACAGUAAGAGCUUGCUCUUACGGGUGGCGAGUGGCGGACGGGUGAGGAAUACAUCGGAAUCUACUUUUUCGUGGGGGAUAACGUAGGGAAACUUACGCUAAUACCGCAUACGACCUACGGGUGAAAGCAGGGGAUCUUCGGACCUUGCGCGAUUGAAUGAGCCGAUGUCGGAUUAGCUAGUUGGCGGGGUAAAGGACCACCAAGGCGACGAUCCGUAGCUGGUCUGAGAGGAUGAUCAGCCACACUGGAACUGAGACACGGUCCAGACUACUACGGGAGGCAGCAGUGGGGAAUAUUGGACAAUGGGCGCAAGCCUGAUCCAGCCAUACCGCGUGGGUGAAGAAGGCCUUCGGGUUGUAAAGCCCUUCUGUUGGGAAAGAAAAGCAGCAGGUUAAUACCCCGCUGUUCUGACGGUACCCAAAGAAUAAGCACCGGCUAACUUCGUG